UCAGGGAAGAAACUGUCGUCUCUAAUAUAGACGGCUAAUGACGGUUCCUGGAGAAUAAGCACCGGCUAACUACGUGCCAGCAGCCGCGGUAAUACGUAUGGUGCAAGCGUUAAUCGGAAUUACUGGGCGUAAAGCGCGCGCAAGCGGUUUCCUAAGUCAGAUGUGAAAUCCCCGGGCUCAACCUGGGAAUGGCAUUUGAGACUGCGAGGCUAUACUGUGUCAGAGGGGGGUAGAAUUCCACG
rnacentral:rRNA from 1 species